rnacentral:rRNA from 1 species
UAGGAACCUAUCGUUUGGUGGGGAUAACGCUGGGAAACCGGCGCUAAUACCGCAUGUGGUCGGAAGAAGAAAGCAGCAAUGCGCCAGACGAGGGGCCUGCGUCCGAUUAGCUGGUUGGUGGGGUAAAGGCCUACCAAGGCGACGAUCGGUAGCUGGUCUGAGAGGAUGAUCAGCCACACUGGGACUGAGACACGGCCCAG